rnacentral:rRNA from 1 species
GAUGAACGCUGGCGGCGUGCCUAAUACAUGCAAGUCGAGCGAACAGACGAGGAGCUUGCUCCUCUGACGUUAGCGGCGGACGGGUGAGUAACACGUGGAUAACCUACCUAUAAGACUGGGAUAACUUCGGGAAACCGGAGCUAAUACCGGAUAAUAUAUUUAACCGCAUGGUUCAAUAGUGAAAGACGGUUUUGCUGUCACUUAUAGAUGGAUCCGCGCCGCAUUAGCUAGUUGGUAAGGUAACGGCUUACCAAGGCAACGAUGCGUAGCCGACCUGAGAGGGUGAUAGGAGAAACGGGAAGUGAGAAACGGUAAAGAAUACUACGGGAGGCAGCAGUAGGGAAUCUUCCGAAAUGGGCGAAAGCCUGACGGAGAAACGCCGCGUGAGUGAUGAAGGUAUUCGGAUCGUAAAACUCUGUUAUUAGGGAAGAAAAAAUGUGUAAGUAACUAUGCACGUCUUGACGGUAACUAAUCAGAAAGCCAGGGCUAACUACGUG